CAGUCUGAUCGGUAGGCCCACAUUUGGGCGGGGGAAGCUGCAACUCCUUCCCUUUCUUGGAUGCUUUAGUCACCAUAGGGUGCGCAAGGGGAGGAAGAGAAAGCUACUUGAGAUCACUAGUUUUGGCUAAUGGUGGUAGUGGCGCAAGCGGCAGCGCUAGGUUUUUUCAAGAUGGAGGAUGAACAGACAAGAAUAGCCGGAAGCGCAAACCACAGGGGCUACUGCCCUUAUUUUUUAUAAUAGAGCAACGAACCUAAAACGGCCUCGAGAUUCUAGUAAUGAAACCGGUAAUAUCGCAACGGUCUAAUACUCUCAACAUUAAUCACGAGAUUGAAUCCAACGGUCACGUUGAUCAUGAUUGACCCCUUCAUCGCCUGAACAUAAUCGAUCAAAGUACUCGGGGGCUGCAUACACCUUGCCUAUUGGACAAAAUUUUCUUUUUCU
rnacentral:lncRNA from 1 species